rnacentral:rRNA from 2 species
UGCAGUCGAGCGAACUGAUUAAAAGCUUGCUUCUAUGACGUUAGCGGCGGACGGGUGAGUAACACGUGGGCAACCUGCCUGUAAGACUGGGAUAACUUCGGGAAACCGAAGCUAAUACCGGAUAGGAUCUUCUCCUUCAUGGGAGAUGAUUGAAAGAUGGUUUCGGCUAUCACUUACAGAUGGGCCCGCGGUGCAUUAGCUAGUUGGUGAGGUAACGGCUCACCAAGGCAACGAUGCAUAGCCGACCUGAGAGGGUGAUCGGCCACACUGGGACUGAGACACGGCCCAGACUCCUACGGGAGGCAGCAGUAGGGAAUCUUCCGCAAUGGACGAAAGUCUGACGGAGCAACGCCGCGUGAGUGAUGAAGGCUUUCGGGUCGUAAAACUCUGUUGUUAGGGAAGAACAAGUACCAGAGUAACUGCUUGUACCUUGACGGUACCUAACCAGAAAGCCACGGCUAACUACGUGCCAGCAGCCGCGGUAAUACGUAGGUGGCAAGCGUUAUCCGGAAUUAUUGGGCGUAAAGCGCGCGCAGGCGGUUUCUUAAGUCUGAUGUGAAAGCCCACGGCUCAACCGUGGAGGGUCAUUGGAAACUGGGGAACUUGAGUGCAGAAGAGAAAAGCGGAAUUCCACGUGUAGCGGUGAAAUGCGUAGAGAUGUGGAGGAACACCAGUGGCGAAGGCGGCUUUUUGGUCUGUAACUGACGCUGAGGCGCGAAAGCGUGGGGGAGCAAACAGGAUUAGAUACCCUGGUAGUCCACGCCGUAAACGAUGAGUGCUAAGUGUUAGAGGGUUUCCGCCCUUUUAGUGCUGCAGCUAACGCAUUAAGCACUCCGCCUGGGGAGUACGGUCGCAAGACUGAAACUCAAAGGAAUUGACGGGGGCCCGCACAAGCGGUGGAGCAUGUGGUUUAAUUCGAAG